AUAUCAAUAAGCGGAGGAAAAGAAACUAACAAGGAUUCCCCUAGUAACUGCGAGUGAAGCGGGAAAAGCUCAAAUUUAAAAUCUGAUGGCCUUCAGCCAUCCGAGUUGUAAUUUAGAGAAGCGUCUUCCGCGCCGGACCGUGCACAAGUCUCCUGGAAUGGAGCGUCAUAGAGGGUGAGAAUCCCGUCUUUGACAUGGACCACCAGUGCUGAUGGUGCGCUCUCGAAGAGUCGAGUUGUUUGGGAAUGCAGCUCAAAAUGGGUGGUAAAUGCCAUCUAAAGCUAAAUAUUGGCGAGAGACCGAUAGCGCACAAGUA
rnacentral:rRNA from 1 species